GGCGAGGGGGCUGGUAACAGUCACCGUCGAACGGGUGCGCAACGCGUAUGCAACCUACCUACCACUGGGGGAUAGCCCGGGGAAACCCGGAUUAAUACCGCAUAAUACAGGGGGCCGGCAUCGGUCUAUUUGUUAAAGAUUUAUCGGUGGUAGAUGGGCAUGCGUCCGAUUAGCUAGUUGGCGGGGUAACGGCCCACCAAGGCGACGAUCGGUAGGGGAGCUGAGAGGUCGAUCCCCCACACGGGCACUGAGAUACGGGCCCGACUCCUACGGGAGGCAGCAGUAGGGAAUAUUGGGCAAUGGAUGCAAGUCUGACCCAGCCAUGCCGCGUGCCGGAUGAAGGCCCUCAGGGUUGUAAACGGCUUUUAUCUGGGAAGAAGAGCGGGGAUGCGUCCCCGUGUGACGGUACCAGAGGAAUAAGCACCGGCUAACUCCGUGCCAGCAGCCGCGGUAAUACGGAGGGUGCGAGCGUUGUCCGGAUUUAUUGGGUUUAAAGGGUGCGUAGGUGGCCUGGUAAGUCAGUGGUGAAAUGCGGUCGCUUAACGAUCGAACUGCCAUUGAUACUGCCGGG
rnacentral:rRNA from 1 species